GUUUUAUCAUUUGUAUGGUUGUCAUCCCUUGUGUGGAUUGACCUAAAAUCCCUUAUAGAUUGAUAAAAGUUGAUAUGCUUUAAGUUGGAAAUAUUCCUUGUCUCAACUGUCUACUCACGAGGAAGGUUGUUUUUCCCCAACCUUAGUAAGAAUCUCUAGCGGAGUAAGCAUGUGUUCCCUGUAGAGCCACCUUUCCAGAUAAUUG
rnacentral:lncRNA from 1 species